AAAAUAACCAUGAUUCCCCCAGUAACGGCGAGUGAAGCGGGAAAAGCUCAAAUUUGAAAUCUGGCAACAUUUCUUUUGUUGUCCGAGUUGUAAUUUCAAGAGGCUGCUUUGAGUGUACACGAUUUACCUAAGUUCCUUGGAACAGGACGUCAUAGAGGGUGAGAACCCCGUCUUUGGUAAAUUGGGCGUAUGCCGGAUAAAGCGCUUUCGAAGAGUCGAGUUGUUUGGGAAUGCAGCUCUAAAUGGGUGGUAAAUUUCAUCUAAAGCUAAAUAUUGGCGAGAGACCGAUAGCGAACAAGUAGAGUGAUCGAAAGAUGAAAAGAACUUUGAAAAGAGAGUUAAAUAGUACGUGAAAUUGCUGAAAGGACGAAGCAUUGGAAACCAGUCUUACCCGGGUGAGAUCAGUUGUCUUUUCGCAAGACAAUGCACUCUGAACCUGUUGGUAGGUCAGCAUCAGUUUCUGGGGGUGGAAAAAGGAUUUAGGAAGGUACCUUUUCGGGUUUUGCUUGAAGAGGGUUUAUAGCCUAGAUUGUAAUACAUCCACUGGGGACUGAGGACUGCGAUCUUUAUGGUCAAGGAUGUUGACAUAAUGGUUUUCAAUGAC
rnacentral:rRNA from 1 species